GGUGGCGAACGGGUGAGUAAUGCAUCGGAACGUGCCCAUCGAUGGGGGAUAACUGCGCGAAAGCGUUGCUAAUACCGCAUACGACCUACGGGUGAAAGCAGGGGACCGCAAGGCCUUGCGUCGAUGGAGCGGCCGAUGCCGGAUUAGCUAGUUGGUGAGGUAAAGGCUCACCAAGGCGACGAUCCCGUAGCUGGUCUGAGAGGACGACCAGCCACACUGGGACUGAGACACGGCCCAGACUCCUACGGGAGGCAGCAGUGGGGAAUCUUGGACAAUGGGCGAAAGCCUGAUCCAGCAAUGCCGCGUGUGGGAAGAAGGCCUCGGGUUGUAAACCACUUUUGGCGGGAAAGAAAUGGUCUGUGCUAAUACCACGGAUUGAUGACGGUACCCGCAGAAUAAGCACCGGCUAACUACGUG
rnacentral:rRNA from 1 species